rnacentral:rRNA from 1 species
UACAGGGGUGAGCAACGUUGCUCGGAAUCAUUGGGCGUAAAGCGCACGUAGGCGGUUCGUUAUGUCGGAUGUGAAAGCCCUUGGCUUAACCGAGGAAGUGCAUCCGAAACUGGCGAGCUAGAGUACGAAAGAGGAUCGCGGAAUUCCCGGUGUAGAGGUGAAAUUCGUAGAUAUCGGGAGGAACGACCGGUGGCGAAGGCGGCGAUCUGGGUCGAUACUGACGCUGAGGUGCGAAAGCGUGGGGAGCAAACAGGG